GAUGAAGAACGCAGCGAAAUGCGAUAAGUAGUGUGAAUUGCAGAAUUCAGUGAAUCAUCGAAUCUUUGAACGCACAUUGCGCCCUUUGGUAUUCCAAAGGGCAUGCCUGUUCGAGCGUCAUUUGUACCCUCAAGCUUUGCUUGGUGUUGGGCGUCUUGUCUCUAGCUUUGCUGGAGACUCGCCUUAAAGUAAUUGGCAGCCGGCCUACUGGUUUCGGAGCGCAGCACAAGUCGCACUCUCUAUCAGCAAAGGUCUAGUAUCCAUUAAGCCUUUUUUUCAACUUUUGACCUCGGAUCAGGUAGGGAUACCCGCUGAACUUAAGCAUAUCAAUAAGCGGAGGA
rnacentral:misc_RNA from 1 species